rnacentral:tRNA from 1 species
AGAGGUAUAGCUCAGUGGUAGAGCACAUGCUUACAAUGAAAGAGGUCCUGGGAUCAAUCCCCAGUACCUCCA